AUGCCUGCCCCCCCUCUCCAGGAUAGUCUGGGUGCUCUGGACAUUUCUUUGACAUCCAAAGAAGGGUUUGGAGUAGGGAGAUUGAUGGGGUCCAUUCAGGAGUGUGCUCUUUAGGUGGAAAGAAUAAAAGGCUAACUUAUGACGACUGAGGAAGGAAGGAAGAGGACUUGACCUAAGGGAGGUCCUUGCCAGAUGGAAAAAGGAGAGGGGACUGCUCCUUCCUUCAUAGGUGGAUAUAAAAAUGGGAGAGGACAUGGAGCGGAAGGCCAGGGAUCAGCAGUGAAUGACCCCGGUGACCAUCUGCUGUGGCUAUAGGUGAGGCGUCGGCAACAGGCAGAGGGUAGAUUCUUGUCACAUCGUCAUAGACCCUGAAGCCCCUCUCUCCUCACCCACCCCAGCUCUCUGUCAUGAAACGUUUCCCAGGCCACUGUAGUUGGAACCUGGAAAUGCAAAAUAAAAGAACAAAAAUGGACGGUG